rnacentral:rRNA from 1 species
GACCGCCUGGGGAGUACGGCCGCAAGGUUAAAACUCAAAUGAAUUGACGGGGGCCCGCACAAGCGGUGGAGCAUGUGGUUUAAUUCGAUGCAACGCGAAGAACCUUACCUGGUCUUGACAUCCACAGAACUUUCCAGAGAUGGAUUGGUGCCUUCGGGAACUGUGAGACAGGUGCUGCAUGGCUGUCGUCAGCUCGUGUUGUGAAAUGUUGGGUUAAGUCCCGCAACGAGCGCAACCCUUAUCCUUUGUUGCCAGCGGUUAGGCCGGGAACUCAAAGGAGACUGCCAGUGAUAAACUGGAGGAAGGUGGGGAUGACGUCAAGUCAUCAUGGCCCUUACGACCAGGGCUACACACGUGCUACAAUGGCGCAUACAAAGAGAAGCGACCUCGCGAGAGCAAGCGGACCUCAUAAAGUGCGUCGUAGUCCGGAUUGGAGUCUGCAACUCGACUCCAUGAAGUCGGAAUCGCUAGUAAUCGUAGAUCAGAAUGCUACGGUGAAUACGUUCCCGGGCCUUGUACACACCGCCCGUCACACCAUGGGAGUGGGUUGCAAAAGAAGUAGGUAGCUUAACCUUCGGGAGGGCGCUUACCACUUUGUGAUUCAUGACUGGGGUGAAGUCGUAACAAGGUAACCGUAGGGGAACCUGCGGUUGGAUCACCUCCUUACCUUAAAGAA